rnacentral:lncRNA from 1 species
UUUCGCGGAGCCUUGGCGGAAACCCUACUGGGAGCCGGUGUGUCCCCCAGUAACAUUUGCAAAUGAAAGAAGAGGCGACCUGAUGUCUAAUGAUGACACUGCUCUUAUGACCAAAGGAAUGUGAGCUCGUAUAUUCUUUUAGAAUUUCCUAAGGCACUCAUGAAAGGUGGCCGGGUACCACUGUAUCAAUGGCCCAGUUGCCCAUCUCCUGGCGAGAGAUUUCCCUAAGUGACCUGGAAGUGUCACUAUUACCACCGCCCCACAUGAAUCUUGUGCUGGAGGCGACUAGAGCUGUGUGUCCCUCAGCAGAAGCAGGUGGCAUAAGCAAGAGUUCCAUUUUGGUUUCAUUUUCAGAGGACCCCAAUUGCGCAGUCUGCAAGAAAUAAUGUGCCUCUCAGGAUGGUUCCAAGCUGAGCCCAAAUCACUGAGGGAGAUUCACUGCUUGCUAACAUGAACUUUAUUCCUGGAUAAACAAGUCCCAAACCGUCUUGUCCAUAUGCCACCACGGUCAGGUCAAAACACACAUUAUCAGCUGGGUGCGGUGGCUCACGCUUGUAAUCCCAGCACUUCGGGAGGCCGAGGUGGGCGGAUCACUUGAGGUCAGGAGUUGGAGAUCAGCCUGGCCAACAUGGUGAAACCCCGUCUCUACUAAAAAUACAAAAAUUAGCCGGG